rnacentral:rRNA from 1 species
UACGGAGGGUCCAAGCGUUGUCCGGAUUUAUUGGGUUUAAAGGGUACGUAGGCGGGACUUUAAGUCAGCGGUGAAAGCCUCCAGCUUAACUGGAGAAUUGCCAUUGAAACUGAAGUUCUUGAGUAUGGAUGAGGUGGUUGGAAUAUAACAUGUAGCGGUGAAAUGCUUAGAUAUGUUAUAGAACACCAAUUGCGAAGGCAGAUCACUAAACCAUUACUGACGCUGAGGUACGAAAGCGUGGGGAGCGAACAAGAUUAGAUACCCUGGUAGUCCACGCCGUAAACUAUGUUCACUCGCUGUUGGCGAUAUACAGUCAGCGGACAAGCGAAAGCAUUAAGUGAACCACCUGGGGAGUACGAUCGCAAGGUUGAAACUCAAAGGAAUUGACGGGGGCCCGCACAAGCGGUGGAGCAUGUGGAUUAAUUCGAUGAUACGCGAGGAACCUUACCAGGGCUUAAAUGGUAAUUGACCGUCGCCGAAAGGUGUCUUUCUUUUAGACAAUUAUCAAGGUGCUGCAUGGCUGUCGUCAGCUCGUGCCGUGAGGUGUUGGGUUAAGUCCCGCAACGAGCGCAGCCCCUAUCAUUAGUUGCCAGCACUUCGGGUGGGGACUCUAAUGACACUGCCUACGUAAGUAGUGAGGAAGGUAGGGACGACGUCAAGUCAUCAUGGCCCUUACGUCCUGGGCUUCACACGUGCUACAAUGGUUGGUACAAAGAGCAGCCACUUGGUAACAAGGAGCGAAUCUCAAAAAACCAAUCUCAGUUCGGAUUGAGGUCUGCAACUCGACCUCAUGAAGCUGGAAUCGCUAGUAAUCGCGUAUCAGCAAUGACGCGGUGAAUACGUUCCCGGGUCU